GACGUAGGGGACGAGCGUUGUCCGGAUUCAUUGGGCGUAAAGCGCGACGUAGGCGGUUACGGCAAGUCGGUUGUGAAAAUCCGGGCGUCAACCCCGGACCUGCAUCCGAUAACUGCGUGACUAGAGGUAGGUAGGGAGAUCGGAAUUCCUGGUGUAGCGGUGAAAUGCGCAGAUAUCAGGAGGAACACCGGUGGCGAAGGCGGAUCUCUGGGCAGUAACUGACGCUGAGGAGCGAAAGCGUGGGGAGCGAACAGG
rnacentral:rRNA from 1 species